CAUGCAGACGUAUGUUUCCGCAUAUGAUCGUUGUGAUAACGCGAAUGUUUUAUCGCGCGACUAAAAGUAUUUGUAGAUUGCAACGAGCUGCAAUUACAUUGUCACGAGGUUCCGCCGUUAUUGUCAAUUUUCAUAGUUUUCUGCGUCGUAUGUGCCGUACGUAAAUUUAGCACAAGUAGCGUGACAACGGUGCGCUUUCCCUGUCAAGUAUUUGGCCGAUGAUCAAGGCUAGUAACCCGAUGACAUACUCCUCGCACACAUGCACUCGUGCACUUCUCGUCCUACGACCAUUCAGGAACGAACGGACGGACGACGAGAAACCUGGCGAUUACUUUGCCAGGCCGACUCGCCGACUCGAUCUGAUUGUGAGGACGGCCGAGAGAGAGAGAGAGUCUCGAGUUGACGCGAAUUCGACGUCUCGCGAGGGAUCUUCGAACGCGCGUCGCACACAAAGAGGGUAGUUGACGAAAAGAGAAAAAAUCGCGACGAAGAGGGACGUUAAUUCGAUCGACGAGCGGAAUGCAUCCGUGCAACCGGGGGAUGCUCUUGAGACUGAGCUUGAGAGGACGCGGCGAGUCAUCGUCAUGGACGACGUAGCCGACGGCCUCUGGCUAGAUUUAAUUUUAACGCUUCGCUUCGCGUACACACCUUCGCCGUUGGACGAAUCUCCGAGUUUCAUCGAGAAGAGAGAAGAUUUCGCUCACCUCGUCUCUUCGGCGACGUUGACGAUUGAUCCGUCACGUGAUGCUCCUCGUAAUUGGUUUCAUUUCACCCCUAGGAUAUUGCAUCGCGACACCAUUCCUGGAGAACCAUCUGCAAACUGCGACUCAUUUACCCUGACCCCCAGGGGGAUAUCUAUUUUUUUAGAGUCAAAUCUGAAAAGAAAAAUCAAAAAGCUUUGUUAAAACUUAAUUAAUGCUUAGGAUGUACAAUGACUUAUGUAAAUAGAAUUGUCGUCAAUAUUAAUUUUGUUAAGAUAUCGUAUUGCAGAGAAAUCUUUUACUUUCUUCGUUAUUUUAUAACAUUUUUGUAAUUUAAUCAAAAUCGUCAGUUAAUUCUAAUACAUUCUUGAAAUUUCAAUCGUAUUUUCUAAUUUUUUUAAAUACUUGCAACUUUUCGAUUGCUGUAAUAAUACUCAUUGUUUAAAAAAAUAUAUUAGGAAGCAGAUUUUAUGCUAUCUAAAUAAAAAGUAUUGCGAUUUA
rnacentral:lncRNA from 13 species